rnacentral:rRNA from 1 species
UACAGAGGUCUCAAGCGUUGUUCGGAUUCAUUGGGCGUAAAGGGUGUGUAGGUGGCGCCGUAAGUCAGGUGUGAAAUUUCGGAGCUUAACUCCGAAACUGCAUUUGAUACUGCGGUGCUUGAGGACUGGAGAGGAGACUGGAAUUUACGGUGUAGCAGUGAAAUGCGUAGAUAUCGUAAGGAAGACCAGUGGCGAAGGCGGGUCUCUGGACAGUUCCUGACACUGAGACACGAAGGCCAGGGGAGCGAACGGG